rnacentral:sRNA from 1 species
GGAAAGGUGCCUGCUUCCUGUUGACCUAUUCCCUCGGUGCUCUGCCUCCCCUAUUUACCCUUUUUCACACAGGUGCCGACUUCCUGUUGACGGAGGUGGAAAAUGGUGGCUCCUUGGGCAGCAAGAAGGGUGUGAACCUUCCUGGGGCUGCUGUGGACUUGCCUGCUGUGUCGGAGAAGGACAUCCAGGAUCUGAAGUUUGGGGUCGAGCAGGAUGUUGAUAUGGUGUUUGCGUCAUUCAUCCGCAAGGCAUCUGAUGUCCAUGAAGUUAGGAAGGUCCUGGGAGAGAAGGGAAAGAACAUCAAGAUAAUCAGCAAAAUCGAGAAUCAUGAGGGGGUUCGGAGGUUUGAUGAAAUCCUGGAGGCCAGUGAUGGGAUCAUGGUGGCUCGUGGUGAUCUAGGCAUUGAGAUUCCUGCAGAGAAGGUCUUUCUUGCUCAGAAGAUGAUGAUUGGACGGUGCAACCGAGCUGGGAAGCCUGUCAUCUGUGCUACUCAGAUGCUGGAGAGCAUGAUCAAGAAGCCCCGCCCCACUCGGGCUGAAGGCAGUGAUGUGGCCAAUGCAGUCCUGGAUGGAGCUGACUGCAUCAUGCUGUCUGGAGAAACAGCCAAAGGGGACUAUCCUCUGGAGGCUGUGCGCAUGCAGCACCUGGUGAGUUCUGGGGCCUGCCCCAUCCCCCGGGCUUCGGACUGGGCCUGGGAUG